AACGAACGCUGGCGGCAUGCCUAACACAUGCAAGUCGAACGAGACCUUCGGGUCUAGUGGCGCACGGGUGCGUAACGCGUGGGAACCUGCCCUUAGGUUCGGAAUAACUCCCCGAAAGGGGUGCUAAUACCGGACAAUGUCUUCGGACCAAAGAUUUAUCGCCUUUGGAUGGGCCCGCGUUGGAUUAGCUAGUUGGUAGGGUAAAAGCCUACCAAGGCGACGAUCCAUAGCUGGUCUGAGAGGAUGAUCAGCCACACUGGGACUGAGACACGGCCCAGACUCCUACGGGAGGCAGCAGUGGGGAAUAUUGGACAAGGGGCGAAAGCCUGAUCCAGCAAUGCCGCGUGAGUGAUGAAGGCCUUAGGGUUGUAAAGCUCUUUUACCCGGGAUGAUAAUGACAGUACCGGGAGAAUAAGCUCCGGCUAACUCCGUG
rnacentral:rRNA from 1 species